rnacentral:rRNA from 1 species
CAGUAGCCGCGGGAAUACGUAGGGUGCGAGCGUUAAUCGGAAUUACUGGGCGUAAAGGGUGCGUAGGCGGUUUGAUAAGUCACAUGUGAAAUCUUCGGGCUCAACCCGAAGUCUGCAUGCGAAACUGUCGGGCUUGAGUAUGGGAGAGGUGAGUGGAAUUUCCGGUGUAGCGGUGAAAUGCGUAGAUAUCGGAAGGAACACCUGUGGCGAAAGCGGCUCACUGGACCAUAACUGACGCUGAUGCACGAAAGCUAGGGGAGCAAACAGGAUUAGAUACCCCCGUAGUCCCUGUCUCUUAUAC